rnacentral:rRNA from 1 species
GACGAACGCUGGCGGCGUGCUUAACACAUGCAAGUCGAACGGAAAGGCCCUGCUUUUGUGGGGUGCUCGAGUGGCGAACGGGUGAGUAACACGUGAGUAACCUGCCCUUGACUUUGGGAUAACUUCAGGAAACUGGGGCUAAUACCGGAUAGGAGCUCCUGCUCCAUGUUGGGGGUUGGAAAGUUUCGGCGGUUGGGGAUGGACUCGCGGCUUAUCAGCUUGUUGGUGGGGUAGUGGCUUACCAAGGCUUUGACGGGUAGCCGGCCUGAGAGGGUGACCGGCCACAUUGGGACUGAGAUACGGCCCAGACUCCUACGGGAGGCAGCAGUGGGGAAUAUUGCACAAUGGGCGGAAGCCUGAUGCAGCAACGCCGCGUGCGGGAUGACGGCCUUCGGGUUGUAAACCGCUUUCGCCUGUGACGAAGCGUGAGUGACGGUAAUGGGUAAAGAAGCACCGGCUAACUACGUG